rnacentral:rRNA from 1 species
GACGAACGCUGGCGGCAUGCCUUACACAUGCAAGUCGAACGGCAGCACGGGUGCUUGCACCUGGUGGCGAGUGGCGAACGGGUGAGUAAUACAUCGGAACGUACCUUAUCGUGGGGGAUAACGCAGCGAAAGUUGCGCUAAUACCGCAUACGCCCUGAGGGGGAAAGCGGGGGACCGUAAGGCCUCGCGCGAUUAGAGCGGCCGAUGUCUGAUUAGCUUGUUGGUGAGGUAAAAGCUCACCAAGGCGAUGAUCAGUAGCUGGUCUGAGAGGACGAUCAGCCACACUGGGACUGAGACACGGCCCAGACUCCUACGGGAGGCAGCAGUGGGGAAUUUUGGACAAUGGGGGCAACCCUGAUCCAGCAAUGCCGCGUGAGUGAAGAAGGCCUUCGGGUUGUAAAGCUCUUUUGUCAGAAAGAAACAGCAGCUCUAACACAGUCUGCGAAUGACGGUACCUGAAGAAUAAGCACCGGCUAACUACGUGCCAGCCGCCGCGGUAA